CGCGGUUAGACUUAAAACCAGUAAUUUUAAAAUUUAAAUUUAGUUAACUAAAUAUAUUUUCAACAAAGAUUUAAUAAGAGGUAAAAUUCAAGCUUAAUUUUUUUUGGAUUUUAAAAUAGUGAGGCUAUAAAAUCUAGGAACUAAACCGGGAUUAGAUACCCCGCUAUACUUAGACUAUAAUUUUAAGGGUAGUAAAAGAAAUAAGCUUCAAACCCAAAGGAUUUGGCGGUCUUUAAACUAACCAGAGGAGGCCGCCCUGUAAUCGUAAGUACGCGUUAUAUCUUACCAUAUUUAUACUCGUAUACCGUCAUCUUAAUAUAAUUAGAAAAUUAUAUUAAAGCUAGUUAUAAAAAUGUUAGAUCAAGGUGCGGCAAUGAUAUGGUAACGGUAGCCUACAAUUUUGUUAUUAGUGGAAGUGUAUUUAAAUAUGCUCUGAAAAUGGAUUUGGAAGUAACUACAUUUUAAAAUGAUGUUGUAAAUAAGCUCUUAAAGAUGUACAUAUCGCCCGUCACUCUCUUAGCCGAGAUAAGUCGU
rnacentral:rRNA from 1 species